CCGGCUCCCUCAUGCUCUCAAAAUAAAUAUUUAAAAACAACAACAACAACAACAACAACAAAAAACCCUAAAAUAGCUCUCUGCUCCUUAUUUUACUUACUUUACUAUUUACAGUGACACUGAAUCAAAAUACGUAUAGAUUCCUUAACAAGUAUUAAUGAUACUCUCUCUAGCCACCAUUAAUGGAUUUUUUAAAGUUGAACAAUUGUCUGAGCAUUGUACCCCAGAUGAAAGAUUCAGUGACAUUAGUGAUCUGAGAUUCCAUGUCUAAUGAGCCCCCGGCGAUGUUGCUGCCAGCCGGGGCGACACUCUGAGUUACCAAGUGUAGGUUAUUAGUGAUGCACCCAUAGUCUUGAAAUUGGAAGAAAUGCCAUCAAACAUAAAGGUGAAAUUUCCUCCUGUUUAAGAUAAUUGAAUUUUCAAAAGGUACCACAUCUAUGUGUAUGUUUUUAAAAAGUGCGUGGGCUAAAGUUUGGCUUUAUGUUGCUUUUCUUUAAAAAAAAAAAAAAAAAGAAAGAAAGAAAGUAAAGAUUUCUAUUAUGUCCUUUGCACUGUUUAAUGUCCUUCAUCUGUUCCCCUGAAACGGAGCGUUGUCGCCUUAGAAACUUCCUUACAAGACUAUGAAACGUAGGCAGUUCCUUCUCUAUUUCUACGCGGGUAAGAACUCUGGAAGCAGGGCACUAGGCACAGAUAGUCCCAAAUGGCUGCUAAAACUUGGCACAGAACGGAUUUUGAUGUAAACUUGUAUUUAUGAUGACCUGGGAACACCGUUACCCUCCUGCAGCCUCCAUCCCAAAGUACACAAAUAGUGUAAGUAGUCAUUUUUCAGAUCGAUGGACAGAUCCCUAAAUUAUGUGAUGAAAAGUGGCCCCCGGUUGGAGUGUUCUGCUAAGGUUGCAUAGUCUCAGCUGGGAAUAGGAUGGGAUCCCAGAGCCUCGGAAAUGCACCUUCUCCUGCCAGUUUCCUUUAACUAAUUUGCUCCCGUCUCUAGUCUUGGAAUCCGCAGCCCUUGCCCUGUGUCUUGCUAUUGCUCGAGUUCUGUUUUGCUUGUCAUGACUGUGUGGUUCUAGAAAACAUGCCAUUUGUUGACAUCAGUGUUUUCAUGCACGUGUUUCAUAAAUGCAUGGUUUUCUUUUGUCCGGCUAAAUCAUCCCUGGAUAAGUGAGAGUUGGCUUAAGUCCAUUCGACUCACAUACAUACUUCAUGUAUUUUAUCACCUGUGGCUAAAUUGUUUCUCCUUUAUUUCCGUUAAGGAUAUUUAUUAUUUGGUAUAACUUAAACCUGUUUUUAAUGUCAUAUUAAUAAUGACUGACCCACUAACUUUGUAACUUUUUUUUACAUUUUUUAAAAAUUUGCAAUUCUUAAGCUGUCUGUGCUUAAGUGAAUGUUACACAAUGUUUUGGGAUGUACUACAUAGAGUGGCCAGAUCAGGUGGUGGGGAGUAUAGUGACAUGGGGGGGGAAACCCAAAAGAUCAAAUUAACUUGAACAUUGUUCUACUUGGCUCUCGAAUUCUGGAGCUGUAAACUUCAAAAAAUUGUGUAAAUAACAAAGGAUGGUGUAGUAAGUUGAGAGCAAACUUUAGAUCCAUCCCAGGACAAUGGGAUGUUAUGUAGUAAGUUUUACAGAGGUCUUUCUGCGGGGUGAAAACAGAUGUGCCGCAGGAAGAAACUGUACUCGAUGCGAAAGUCAGGAUGCAUCUGAAAAUGCCUGGCUUGUCCUAAAAUUGAUUGCUAAGAUGAUAUUUAAUAUAUGCUCUGUGUAUUCCCUCUAAAUCUAAGAUGUGAGAGACAAGGGCUGUUUGUCCUCACACAGUCUUACGCUAGGAGAGAGAGUUUACAUUACUCAUAUCAGGCUAAUUGGUUUUAGAGGUAAACAGAUUGCACAGAAAUUCCGAAUCAGUUCAUCUGCCAGACGAUCUGUAAGAUGUCAACAUUAGAGUAGCUCCCUGCACCUAAUUCCUAAAGGAGAAUCAGAAAAGUCGUAAUUUGUGACUCUAAUUGUCAGCCCUACUUCCAUUCUCUUUGUCAUUCAUUUUAUCCCACCUGUUGUGCCAUUCUGCUUCCUUUUGGUUUGUUGUGACUAUUUUAUUCAGCAUUUUCCCUUCCUCUGUUCAGCACAUACCAAACUGGUGAGAGCCACAGAGAAGUAAAAUUAAAUUCUCUCUGAGAAGAAGAGAUGAGAGAAAGGUUUGCUUUUAUCGUUAAAAGGAAAACAGAAGUUAGCACCUCAUACAGCACUUACCAGGAUAAAUCCACUUCGCCAGAAGAGUCCACGCAGUAAACGGUUUCCACACAGUGCAUCUUCUGAUUCUUUUAGAAUGUUGACAUCGAUGGUAAAUUCAUACAGCCUCUAUGGAAAACAUACACGCCUUCCUCAAAAAACUAAAAACCAAACCAACAAAUGAUUUAGCAGUUCCACUUGCUGGCAUAUAUCCAAAGGAAACAAACAAACAAACAAAAACACUGCA